rnacentral:rRNA from 1 species
GAUGAACGCUGGCGGCGUGCUUAACACAUGCAAGUCGAACGGAUGCAAGGGGCUUGCUCCUUGCAUUAGUGGCGGACGGGUGAGUAACGCGUGAGCAAUCUGCCCAUAUCAGGGGGAUAACAGUUAGAAAUGACUGCUAAUACCGCAUAAGACCACGGGAAGGCAUCUUCUUGGGGUAAAAGAUUUAUCGGAUAUGGAUGAGCUCGCGUCCCAUUAGGCAGUUGGUGAGGUAACGGCCCACCAAACCUACGAUGGGUAGCCGACCUCAGAGGGUGAUCGGCCACAUUGGAACUGAGACACGGUCCAA